rnacentral:rRNA from 1 species
UACGUAGGAGGCAAGCGUUGUCCGGAGUUACUGGGCGUAAAGCGCACGCAGGCGGUCAGAUCAGUCUGGAGUGACAGUCGUCGGCUUAACCGACGAAGUGUUCUGGAAACUGUCUGACUUGAGGGCUUCAGAGGGACACGGAAUUCCGGGUGGAGUGGUGAAAUGCGUAGAUAUCCGGAGGAACACCAAUGGCGAAGGCAGUGUCCUGGGAAGUACCGUGACGCUCAGG